GCCUUAAUACAUUGCAAGUCGAGCGGACAGAUGGGAGCUUGCUCCCUGAUGUUAGCGGCGGACGGGUGAGUAACACGUGGGUAACCUGCCUGUAAGACUGGGAUAACUCCGGGAAACCGGGGCUAAUACCGGAUGGUUGUUUGAACCGCAUGGUUCAAACAUAAAAGGUGGCUUCGGCUACCACUUACAGAUGGACCCGCGGCGCAUUAGCUAGUUGGUGAGGUAAUGGCUCACCAAGGCAACGAUGCGUAGCCGACCUGAGAGGGUGAUCGGCCACACUGGGACUUGAGACACGGCCCAGACUCCUACGGGAGGCAGCAGUAGGGAAUCUUCCGCAAUGGACGAAAGUCUGACGGAGCAACGCCGCGUGAGUGAUGAAGGUUUUCGGAUCGUAAAGCUCUGUUGUUAGGGAAGAACAAGUACCGUUCGAAUAGGGCGGUACCUUGACGGUACCUAACCAGAAAGCCACGGCUAACUACGUGCCAGCAGCCGCGGUAAUACGUAGGUGGCAAGCGUUGUCCGGAAUUAUUGGGCGUAAAGGGCUCGCAGGCGGUUUCUUAAGUCUGAUGUGAAAGCCCCCGGCUCAACCGGGGAGGGUCAUUGGAAACUGGGGAACUUGAGUGCAGAAGAGGAGAGUGGAAUUCCACGUGAGCGGUGAAAUGCGUAGAGAUGUGGAGGAACACCAGUGGCGAAGGCGACUCUCUGGUCUGUAACUGACGCUGAGGAGCGAAAGCGUGGGGAGCGAACAGGAUUAGAUACCCUGGUAGUCCACGCCGUAAACGAUGAGUGCUAAGUGUUAGGGGGUUUCCGCCCCUUAGUGCUGCAGCUAACGCAUUAAGCACUCCGCCUGGGGAGUACGGUCGCAAGACUGAAACUCAAAGGAAUUGACGGGGGCCCGCACAUAGCGGUGGAGCAUGUGGUUUAAUUCGAAGCAACGCGAAGAACCUUACCAGGUCUUGACAUCCUCUGACAAUCCUAGAGAUAGGACGUCCCCUUCGGGGGGCAGAGUGACAGGUGGUGCAUGGUUGUCGUCAGCUUCGUGUCGUGAG
rnacentral:rRNA from 1 species